rnacentral:tRNA from 1 species
UCCCCUUUAGCUCAGUUGGUUAGAGCAUCUGACUGUUAAUCAGAGGGUCCAAAGUUCGAGUCUUUGAAGGGGAG